AUAAAGGCCCCACGCUAAGAAGCCCCGGCAGCCACUGCCACCCCACCGCGGCUCCCUCAGCUCGCAGCUCUCACUCGGAGAUUUUCAUUCCGUUCUUUGCAGGCACCUUUGAAAUUCAUCGUGCCGCUGCACUGGUUUGAGGUACAAGCUCACCUCGCCUGACCUCCCACCCAACACAGGCCUUUGAAUCUGCCCCUGGAAUUUUGUCAUCGGGCAGCUCUCUCUCUUUGAGAUAUAGCACGGCUCUUAGAUAUCCAUCUAGUCUUGACUGGGAGACGGCAAAUAAAGGAAAUCCAUCACGUCCGUAGGUAGCGGUGUUUAAAUCACUGAGAUAAGCCUUUACAUCUAAGGCUUCCCUUGAAGACAAGACAGCAACAAGAAUUUGCCGAAGAGGCCAGUGCUCGUGGGAGGGGAAGAAGAGGCGGAUCUAGACGUGAGCUUCAUAAAACUGAGAAAUGGGCAAAAGGCAAAGUGUCGCUCUAGCCCCAGUGCAGCUAACGGUAACGUUCUGCCAAGGACUGAAUGUGACGUGUGUCCUUCACUAAGUCAAAGGGCUUUAAAAGAACUCCUGCUCCCAGCACCAUCAAUCAAACUGUAAAUCCCAGACAAAGCGAAUCGGUGGGGGUGAUUCCCGGGUGCAGAUGAGGCUGGCAGCAGCCCGGAGCUGAACCUGUCUUGAGCAGGAUGGACCCUGGCUGAUGUCCAUCAGGGCUCUGUUUCACUGGCGAUCACCUGGAAGGAUCUC